GAUGAACGCUGGCGGCGUGCCUAAUACAUGCAAGUCGAGCGAACGGACGAGAAGCUUGCUUCUCUGAUGUUAGCGGCGGACGGGUGAGUAACACGUGGAUAACCUACCUAUAAGACUGGGAUAACUUCGGGAAACCGUAGCUAAUACCGGAUAAUAUUUUGAACCGCAUGGUUCAAAAGUGAAAGACGGUCUUGCUGUCACUUAUAGAUGGAUCCGCGCUGCAUUAGCUAGUUGGUAAGGUAACGGCUUACCAAGGCAACGAUGCAUAGCCGACCUGAGAGGGUGAUCGGCCACACUGGAACUGAGACACGGUCCAGACUCCUACGGGAGGCAGCAGUAGGGAAUCUUCCGCAAUGGGCGAAAGCCUGACGGAGCAACGCCGCGUGAGUGAUGAAGGUCUUCAGAUCGUAAAACUCUGUUAUUAGGGAAGAACAUAUGUGUAAGUAACUGUGCACAUCUUGACGGUACCUAAUCAGAAAGCCACGGCUAACUACGU
rnacentral:rRNA from 1 species